GCCGGUGCCAAGCGCAACGACAACGACCUCAGUGACCGGAUUUGGAAGUAUUUUUGGAACGUAAUCACUUAGGUUUGGAACUCCGCAAGACGCACUAGAAAUGACAAACUCAGUUGCGAAAAACACGCACCAGCAAGAACGUUUUUCACUCUUUUGCGCAAAUUUUACCCUGUUGAUGUUUUGUCUGCUUUGCGUCUACUUUAUUUCCUCAGGUCUGUUGUGUCCACAUCGUGUAUCACCUGUUGUGUAAUAAGGACACAGCGUCGACUUGUCCACGAGUCACUGUGACAUUUUCAAGAAAAAAGAGAUGCUGCUUCCUGCUCCGAGCUGCUCCCACGUCGCGCCGAGGUGAUGCCUGAGUGUUAUCUUCGUUCAGUGUUGCAUCAGCUGCCUCCUACUAUAUAUCAGCGGCCAUCCGGUGUCUGGAGGGGGGAGCCGGCUUUGCCUCGGAUUGGUUGAGGCACAGAGGUGCGGUCCUCCCUCACAGACCACGCCCACUGCCGUCACAAGCUUCAGCUUUCUUUUGUGCAGAGAAAUGCCUAUUCAAAUUAGAAUGAACUGGCGCAAAUAAACUCUACUGACACCU